GCCACACCCAGGAACAAAUCAGAAACUUCACCAGGCCAAAAGGAAGCCCAGCCCUAACCCAGAGGCAGAACUUCAGCAGGACUUUUUCUAGCAGCAGAGGAGAGCCAGUCCCUGAAGGGGAUAAGGAGAGGAUGUCAAUGUGGGAAGUCUUGAUGGAUGUCCAAGUUUCCCAGGUUCUAAAUUUAUUGUAAUUUAAUCAUGUUCAUCUCUGAGGACAGUACUAGGCGAUUGCUCUGCAGGGAAUUGAAGGCCCUUCGAUCAUCACUACCUGUCAAGCCUAGGAGCCUUGAAGGGAGGCAUUACCCCGUGAGGUCUGGAGCCUCUGCGUGACAUGAGGUCUGGGGUACCAGUCCAACCUACACCAGGAAAUUAAGAAAAGGUCUCAGAUGUGGGAUUGUGAUCCAGACUCCAGGGAUUAAGAUUUCUUUUCUUCCAGGGAACAAUGGUGAUUGGAGGAAAGAAAAUCCAGAAGCGUACAAGUUGCUCUUCAUACUUCCCGGCAGCUUUCUAGAACAUAUUGUGAAUUACUCUUAGGUAAUGACAUGAAGGACACAGAGUUUGCACCCUUGAGCCAAAUGGUGAUGUACUGCAUGCACCUCAAGUCCAAUUCAUCACCUCUUGGACUGGAGAAGCUACAUGGGGUUGAAUAAUUAAUGUCCCCUGAAGGCCUGGAGACCUCUGGCUGAUUCCAACUGUGAUGCUCAGUCCUGGAGUCUCUCACGACAGCACAUCCACACAGCCAUAUUCCCAGGAGGAAAAGUUACAGAUGGAGUUUGUCAAGUCUAGAGACAUCUGAGACACUCUAUAGAUUCUCUUGUAGGGUCCCUACAGGGACCAUGCCUUAAAAGAUCCUGGGAAGCUUAUUUAUAAUCAUUUCAAAAUGCCUGAGAGAUUGAUAACUCAGGCCUAUUUUCCUUAGGAAAACCCUCUAAAAUAUCUAAACUAAACCCCUACAACUAUCACCACAAUCUACUUUCUCAUAUCCUUCAAACACUUCCUUGGCCCCUGACCCUUUGGCCAGAGGAUUAAUUCCAAGCCUCCCCUAACACUUCACCAAAAGUUCAUCAUGAUCUGUACCCGAUCUACAAUCUUAAACUCAAUUCUCAUUACAACUAUUUAUGUUCUCUGUGCCACAGCCACACCAAGCUGAUCAUUAAUCCACAAGCACACAUUGUACCUGGACCCACACUGACCUUCCCCUCACCUUCUGCACGGCUACCACACCCAUCUACUCUACUCCCUUCUAAGGGACUAGCUCAGUU
rnacentral:lncRNA from 13 species